rnacentral:rRNA from 1 species
AGGUUACUGCUAUCGGUGUCGCUAAGCCAUGCGAGUCAUAUGUUCUUCGUGAACAUGGCGUACUGCUCAGUAACACGUGGAUAACCUGCCCUUGGGUCCGGCAUAACCCCGGGAAACUGGGGAUAAUUCCGGAUAACGCACAUAUGCUGGAAUGCUUUAUGCGUCAAAUGGAUUCGUCCGCCCAAGGAUGGGUCUGCGGCCUAUCAGGUAGUAGUGGGUGUAAUGUACCUACUAGCCUACGACGGGUACGGGUUGUGAGAGCAAGAGCCCGGAGAUGGAUUCUGAGACAUGAAUCCAGGCCCUACGGGGCGCAGCAGGCGCGAAAACUUUACAAUGCGGGAAACCGUGAUAAGGGGACACCGAGUGCCAGCAUCAUAUGCUGGCUGUCCGGGUGUGUAAAAUACACCUGUUAGCAAGGGCCGGGCAAGACCGGUGCCAGCCGCCGCGGUAACACCGGCGGCCCGAGUGGUGAUCGUGAUUAUUGGGUCUAAAGGGUCCGUAGCCGGUUUGGUCAGUCCUCCGGGAAAUCUGACGGCUUAACCGUUAGGCUUUCGGGGGAUACUGCCAGACUUGGGACCGGGAGAGGUAAGAGGUACUACAGGGGUAGGAGUGAAAUCUUGUAAUCCCUGUGGGACCACCUGUGGCGAAGGCGUCUUACCAGAACGGGUUCGACGGUGAGGGACGAAAGCUGGGGGCACGAACCGGAUUAGAUACCCGGGUAGUCCCAGCCGUAAACGAUGCUCGCUAGGUGUCAGGCAUGGCGCGACCGUGUCUGGUGCCGCAGGGAAGCCGUGAAGCGAGCCACCUGGGAAGUACGGCCGCAAGGCUGAAACUUAA